AGAGUUUGAUCCUGGCUCAGGAUGAACGCUAGCUACAGGCUUAACACAUGCAAGUCGAGGGGCAGCAUGAACUUAGCUUGCUAAGUUUGAUGGCGACCGGCGCACGGGUGAGUAACACGUAUCCAACCUGCCGAUGACUCGGGGAUAGCCUUUCGAAAGAAAGAUUAAUACCCGAUGGCAUAGUUCUUCCGCAUGGUAGAACUAUUAAAGAAUUUCGGUCAUCGAUGGGGAUGCGUUCCAUUAGGUUGUUGGCGGGGUAACGGCCCACCAAGCCUUCGAUGGAUAGGGGUUCUGAGAGGAAGGUCCCCCACAUUGGAACUGAGACACGGUCCAAACUCCUACGGGAGGCAGCAGUGAGGAAUAUUGGUCAAUGGGCGAUGGCCUGAACCAGCCAAGUAGCGUGAAGGAUGACUGCCCUAUGGGUUGUAAACUUCUUUUAUAUGGGAAUAAAGUUUUCCACGUGUGGAAUUUUGUAUGUACCAUAUGAAUAAGGAUCGGCUAACUCCGUGCCAGCAGCCGCGGUAAUACGGAGGAUCCGAGCGUUAUCCGGAUUUAUUGGGUUUAAAGGGAGCGUAGGCGGACGCUUAAGUCAGUUGUGAAAGUUUGCGGCUCAACCGUAAAAUUGCAGUUGAUACUGGGUGUCUUGAGUACAGUAGAGGCAGGCGGAAUUCGUGGUGUAGCGGUGAAAUGCUUAGAUAUCACGAAGAACUCCGAUUGCGAAGGCAGCCUGCUGGACUGUAACUGACGCUGAUGCUCGAAAGUGUGGGUAUCAAACAGGAUUAGAUACCCUGGUAGUCCACACAGUAAACGAUGAAUACUCGCUGUUUGCGAUAUACAGUAAGCGGCCAAGCGAAAGCGUUAAGUAUUCCACCUGGGGAGUACGCCGGCAACGGUGAAACUCAAAGGAAUUGACGGGGGCCCGCACAAGCGGAGGAACAUGUGGUUUAAUUCGAUGAUACGCGAGGAACCUUACCCGGGCUCAAACGACACAGGACAGCAGAUGAAAGUCUGUCUCCAGCAAUGGUCUGUGUCGAGGUGCUGCAUGGUUGUCGUCAGCUCGUGCCGUGAGGUGUCGGCUUAAGUGCCAUAACGAGCGCAACCCUUAUCUUCAGUUACUAACAGGUCAUGCUGAGGACUCUGGAGAGACUGCCGUCGUAAGAUGUGAGGAAGGUGGGGAUGACGUCAAAUCAGCACGGCCCUUACGUCCGGGGCUACACACGUGUUACAAUGGGGGGUACAGAAGGCAGCUACCUGGUGACAGGAUGCUAAUCCCAAAAGCCUCUCUCAGUUCGGAUCGAAGUCUGCAACCCGACUUCGUGAAGCUGGAUUCGCUAGUAAUCGCGCAUCAGCCAUGGCGCGGUGAAUACGUUCCCGGGCCUUGUACACACCGCCCGUCAAGCCAUGGGAGCCGGGGGUACCUGAAGUGCGUAACCGCGAGGAUCGCCCUAGGGUAAAACUGGUGACUGGGGCUAAGUCGUAACAAGGUAGCCGUACCGGAAGGUGCGGCUG
rnacentral:rRNA from 1 species